rnacentral:rRNA from 1 species
GUGAACGCUGGCGGUGCGCCUAAAACAUGCAAGUCGAGCGCCCAGCACCCUGUCCUUCAUCGGAGGGCCAGAGUGCUGGGAGCGGCGAACGGCUGCGUAACCACGUGGAUACCUGCCUCGAACUCAGGGAUAACCCUCCGAAAGGAGGGCUAAUACCGGAUGGUCCCGCAAGGGUUAAAGCUUUCGCGGUCGAGAGGGGUGGGUCUGCGGCCUAUCAGCCAGUUGGUAAGGUAACGGCUUACCAAGGCGAUGACGGGGUAGCUGGUCUGAGAGGACGACCAGCCAGAAUGGAACUGAGACACGGGUCCAUACUCCUACGGGAGGGCAAGCAGUUAGGAAUCUUCCGCAAUGGGGGGGCAACCCUGGACGGAGCGACACCGCGUGAAGGAUGAAGCCUUUUGGUGUGUAAACUUCUGUUUUGAGGGACGAAAUUUUUGACGGUACCAUCAAGAGAAAGCACCGGCUAAUUCUGUGCCAGCAGCCGCGGGUAAGACAGAAGGUGGCAAGCGUUACUCGGGAUUACUGGGCGUAAAGCGUCUGGUAGGUGUCCUGUUACGUCUGGCGUAAAAUUUCGGGGCCUAACCCCGAAUGCGUGCCGGAAACGGAUGGAUGAUCGAGUCAUUCAGAGGCAUCUGGAAUGUCGUGUGUAGGGGUAUAAAAUCCGUAAGAUACGCGAUGGAACGCCGGAACGAAAGCGAAGGCAGGAUGCUGGGCAAUGUACUGACACUCAGAGACGGAAAGCGUGGGGGGAAGGCAAAGGGGAAUUAGAUACCCCCGUAGUCCACGCCCUAUAACGAUGCCGAGCUCGGUGUAGGAACUUACAAUCUGUUCCUGUUGCCCUAAGCUUACGCGGUAAGCUCGCCGCCUGGGAAGUACGGCCCGCAGGGCUAAAACUCAAAGGAAUAGGACGGGGACCCACACAAAGCGGUUGGAGCAUGGGGUUUUAUUCGAUGACAAGCGUAAGCACCUCACCCAGACUUGACAUGUCAGGAAAUCCGGGCCGAAAAGGUUGGAGUGCCGCAAGGAACCUGAACACAGGCGGUGGCACGGUCGUCGUCAGCUCGUGCCUUGAGGUGUAACUGUUCAGUCAGCCAACGAGCGCACCCUCAUCCUAUGUUGCUUUUUCAUAGGAGACUGCCGCCUCCAAGGCGAGAGGAAGGUGAGGAUGACGUCAGAUCAGCGUGCCCUUUAUGUCUGGGGCGACACCGUGCUACAAUGGCCGGUACACAACGGCAGCCAAACCCGCGAGGGGGAGCAAAUCCGAAAAAACGGCCUCAGUUCGGAUUGAAGUCUGCAACUCGACUUCAUGAAGUUGGAAUCGCUAGGUAACCGUGAAAUCAGCCAUGUCACGGUGAAUAUGUUUCCUGGGUCUUGUACUCACCGCACCGUCAACUCAUGUGAGGUAGGAGCACCCGAAGGACCUUACCAGCAAUGGGAGGUACCACGUGAUACUACUGACUGGGAGU